rnacentral:rRNA from 1 species
UCUUUGGAGAGUUUGAUCCUGGCUCAGGACGAACGCUGGCGGCGUGCCUAACACAUGCAAGUCGAACGGAAGUGGGGGCAACUCCACUUCAGUGGCGGACGGGUGCGUAACACGUGAGCAAUCUGCCCUCGGGUGGGGGAUAGCCGGCCUAACGGCCGGGUAAUACCGCAUGCAGCUGCGGGGUCACCUGACCCUGCAGUGAAAGCCGCAAGGCGCCGGAGGAGGAGCUCGCGGCCUAUCAGCUUGUUGGUGGGGUAACGGCCCACCAAGGCUUCGACGGGUAGCUGGUCUGAGAGGAUGGCCAGCCACAUUGGGACUGAGAUACGGCCCAGACUCCUACGGGAGGCAGCAGUGGGGAAUCUUGCGCAAUGGCCGCAAGGCUGACGCAGCGACGCCGCGUGUGGGAUGACGGCCUUCGGGUUGUAAACCACUGUCGGGAGGGACGAAUACCCGGCUUGACCGGGGGUGACGGUACCUCCAGAGGAAGCACCGGCUAACUCCGUGCCAGCAGCCGCGGUAAUACGGAGGGUGCGAGCGUUGUCCGGAAUCACUGGGCGUAAAGGGCGCGUAGGCGGCGCGGUAAGUCGGAUGUGAAAUCCCGGGGCUCAACUCCGGGGCUGCAUCCGAGACUGUCGGGCUAGAGCACGGUAGGGGCGAGUGGAAUUCCCGGUGUAGCGGUGGAAUGCGUAGAGAUCGGGAAGAACACCAGUGGCGAAGGCGGCUCGCUGGGCCGUUGCUGACGCUGAGGCGCGAAAGCGUGGGGAGCAAACAGGAUUAGAUACCCUGGUAGUCCACGCCGUAAACGAUGGGUACUAGGCGCCGGGGGGAGCGACCCCGUCGGUGCCGUCGCUAACGCAGUAAGUACCCCGCCUGGGGAGUACGGCCGCAAGGCUGAAACUCAAAGGAAUUGACGGGGGCCCGCACAAGCGGUGGAGCAUGUGGUUUAAUUCGAGGCAACGCGAA